CUCAUUGUUUUGCAAUAAUUAGGAAUAAUAGAACAUUAAUAUUUCUGUUUUUAUUUUGCUAACAUGAUCAUGUCAUCAUAUGUAAUAGGUAUGAUCAUUAUAUAAAUGGGAAAACUACUUAUAAAUAUAAAUUUUACACAAAUAGCCAAAAAGUCUUAAUUACUUCUUUUUCGAUCAGACAGACUUACUUACUUCAAUAAACAUAAAUCACCAAGUUAUAAAU
rnacentral:lncRNA from 1 species